AAACUUUACAAUGCGCGAAAGCGCGAUAAGGGGACCCCGAGUGCGAGGGCAUAACGUCCUCGCUUUUGUAUAUCGUAAGAAGAUACACGAAUAAGGGCUGGGCAAGACCGGUGCCAGCCGCCGCGGUAAUACCGGCAGCUCGAGUGAUGAUCACUAUUAUUGGGCCUAAAGCGUCCGUAGCCGGUCGAACAAGUCCUUCGGUAAAUCCACUCGCUCAACGAGUGGGCUCUCGAGGGAAACUGUUCGACUUGGGGCCGGGAGAUCUGAGGGGUACGUCUAGGGUAGGAGUGAAAUCCUGUAAUCCUAGACGGACCGCCGGUGGCGAAAGCGCCUCAGAAGAACGGACCCGACGGUCAGGGACGAAAGCUAGGGUCUCGAACCGGAUUAGAUACCCGGGUAGUCCUAGCCGUAAACGAUGCUCGCUAGGUGUUGCGAAAGCUACGUGCUUUUGCUGUGCCGUAGGGAAGCCGUGAAGCGAGCCGCCUGGGAAGUACGUCCGCAAGGAUGAAACUUAA
rnacentral:rRNA from 1 species